AGCACUGAGUUAUUUUCUUUUCAAAAAUGACAAAAGUCGUGUACUGACAUGUCUACAGUCGCCAUGGUUUGCAUUAUGCAGUUCUUUAUGGAGUUUACUCCUUCAGUAGGGGGCGCACCUCAGUAGCGGUUACAUCACGUGUUUUGAUGCUCUGAUUGGCCGGUAAAGAUGUGACAGACAGAACGUUCAUCCAAUUACUCUCCGAAUUUUUUUCAAAGGCUCUGCCCUUUCCUGAACACUGUAUAUGGAUGUGUGAAACAAAUCCAUGUGGCGUGUCAGGUUAGAGAUAUGGUUCAACGUCUUAAACAACCCAAUCUUUAUGUUUCUAUGUCCUCAAAAAUGUCUUUGUUAUUGAAGUGAUGUUAAAAUGAUCCUCAAAGGGCUGAGAGGUUUAUUCCCACAUCACUGCUACUAAUGUCCUACAUUUGUUUCCUUCAUUUGGUCUUUUGGCUACACUGUUCUUUUUUUGCUUGCCAUUUCUUUCAUUUGUUUUGGCAAAAUACAUACAUAUUAAUUCAUUAUCAGUUUGCCUAUCACAUAACUCAUCUGAAGUAGGAUUUCCUGUGUCAUACAACAAAUAAAAACUGAAAUGUGUUACCUUUAAAGUGCUAAUUAGAGCCAAAUUGAUAUCCCUUAUUUGAGUAAGAAAGCAAAUGAAGAUAAACUUUAAGAACUUGGAAACAAUUCCAAAAGGAUUAGAAAGACAACACAGUGGGAAAUUAAAGUGCGAAAUAAGGAUUACAGUUAAAAGGAUUAGAAAUCAAACCUUGGGGGUAAAAAAUAAAUUGAGGGAGAAAAAGUGUACAUCUGUACAUAAUAUCAAGUAAAAUCACAAAAAAUAUUAGCAAUUAUUAGCAUUAAGAAACAGAACUGGCAUAUUUUCUUAAAAAUAUUGAACCCUAAAAAACAGGUUAAGUACACAUCACCAUAUGUAGCCAUCACAUCUAAGAGGCUCUGCUCUUAUGUAGUCUGUGUCUUCAUAUACAAAAAUAGAUCAUCAGGUUAUAGAUUAAACAUACAGAAAACCCAGUCAUUAACAUUUAACUGUGGAACAUUACCUAAGUGUAUACAGACUUCCUGUCAGCUGGUCUCACAAAGAAAUUAGAUAUCUAGUGGUAUGGUGUUCCAAAUGGUCUGGGACAGUGUGUUGAUGUCCAUUUAGAUCACUUGCAACCUGAAUAUAAAAUUAAUUAAAAUAGUUUGGAAAGAAAGAAAAAUCAAAUUUGUUGUUCAUUAUCAACGUAUUCAGGGCUGUGAUAAUCCACUUAAGGAAAUUCACUUUACAUGGACUGUAUGAAAAAUAUAUGUUGUUUUUUAGCCCCCCCCCCCCCCCCCCCCAAAAAAAACAAACAAACAAACAAACAAGAUGGCAUUUAAAUGGUUAAAAUUCCUAUUAUUUCUAUUUCUAAUAUUCCUAAUUAUUCUAAUUUAUGUAAGCUGCCACUUUUUGUCACAAACUCCUAUAUAUUAUUAUAUAACAUAUUCAAGGCUUUGAAGGCUUUGAGUAAAUCCAACUUGUUUUUAGUGAAUUUUACAUUACCAGGAUCUUGUUUUUGCACUUACACUGGCAUUAAAAAAGGUUAAAUCCUACAAAUUAAUCAACAAUUGAAGUUCAUGAUCAGGUCUGAUCUUGACUGAAAAAAUAAUGUGAAAGAAGUAUUUAAAAAACAUAUGUAUGUGUAAUUGUUUUUAUUGUUGUUUAUGUCAGCUACCAUUUUUUAACACUUACACCCUGAUUGUAACACUUUCUUUUACACCAUCUGGGGGGUUACAUUUAGCUAUUUCUGAAUUGUAACUAAUCAGCUACGGUGAGGGCUUUCCACUUUAGAUACCAAAACCUUUGAAAAUGUACAAAAAGGUGUUCUGAAGUAAUGUUUUCCUUCUCCCUGGCCAGAUCUUCAGGACGCCAACCUGUAUCCCUUUAUACAGUCAGGUGUAAAUGCUGCGUUAACAAAAGGUCAGAGGAAACGCUGCCCCUAAUCGCAGGGGCUGAACAAGAAUAGUCCCCAUAAAGCGUUAUUAUUCAGGGAGAGUCCUCACCGUGUCUGCCCCCUCCCUCUGGAACUCACUUCCCCAAACAUAUUCAAGCCUGUACUGACCUACUCACAUCACUACUCAAGACUUUCCAAACAAGCUUUAAAUGUGGGAUUAUGCUGUUAACAUGUUUAUUUGACCCAUGUAUAAUGAUGCUAUGCUUGUGUUAUUUGAUCCAUUUAUCAAAUGUAAAACUUCUUUGAGUACCUGAAAAAUACUUUACAAAUAAAAUGUUAUAUUAUUAUUCAUUUCA